rnacentral:tRNA from 1 species
UCCCUGGUGGUCUAGUGGCUAAGAUUCUGUGCUCCCAAUGCAGGAACCCCUGGUUCGAGCCCUGGUCAGGGAC